UAAGGAAUAUUGGUCAAUGGAUGCAAGUCUGAACCAGCCAUGCCGCGUGCAGGAAGACGGCCUUCUGGGUUGUAAACUGCUUUUGUCAGGGGAUAAAAUUUCCUUGCGAGGAAAAUUGAAGGUACCUGACGAAUAAGCCACGGCUAACUA
rnacentral:rRNA from 1 species